rnacentral:rRNA from 1 species
AGUCGAACGAGAUCUUCGGAUCUAGUGGCGCACGGGUGCGUAACGCGUGGGAAUCUGCCCUUGGGUUCGGAAUAACUUCUGGAAACGGAAGCUAAUACCGGAUGAUGACGUAAGUCCAAAGAUUUAUCGCCCAAGGAUGAGCCCGCGUAGGAUUAGCUAGUUGGUGGGGUAAAGGCUCACCAAGGCGACGAUCCUUAGCUGGUCUGAGAGGAUGAUCAGCCACACUGGGACUGAGACACGGCCCAGACUCCUACGGGAGGCAGCAGUAGGGAAUAUUGGACAAUGGGCGAAAGCCUGAUCCAGCAAUGCCGCGUGAGUGAUGAAGGCCUUAGGGUUGUAAAGCUCUUUUACCCGGGAUGAUAAUGACAGUACCGGGAGAAUAAGCUCCGGCUAACUCCGUGCCAGCAGCCGCGGUAAUACGGAGGGAGCUAGCGUUGUUCGGAAUUACUGGGCGUAAAGCGCACGUAGGCGGCUAUUCAAGUCAGAGGUGAAAGCCCGGGGCUCAACCCCGGAACUGCCUUUGAAACUAGAUAGCUUGAAUCCAGGAGAGGUGAGUGGAAUUCCGAGUGUAGAGGUGAAAUUCGUAGAUAUUCGGAAGAACACCAGUGGCGAAGGCGGCUCACUGGACUGGUAU